ensembl:lncRNA
AACGAAGAAGACACGAGUGUGGAGCAGCAGCAUGAUCAGUCCUCUCUCUGAGUGUCAGUGUGUUUGAGCAGAAGGCCACAGAGAGAAGACCAGACCCCUGUUCCUGCUGAACUGAGCCAGCUACAGCCAUCCACUGAUUAUCAGCACAGCAGGCACAGGAGACCAGCCCACUGACAGACACAGACACAGACACAGAGACAAACCACACGCACCCAAAUAACAGCAAACCGAGACGCAGACGUCGAGUAUGAAACCAGUCAAACAGUCACAGUAAACUCAGAAAUGCAUGGUCAAGAAUAACUUCAUGAGGCAAUAAUGUCAGCACCAACCUGACGCCUGAAGCAGUGUUAGCAGCAGCUUGUUGAAUCCAG